UAAGAGUUGGACGGUUAAUGAGAGGUAGCC
rnacentral:piRNA from 1 species